AGCGAACGCUGGCGGCAGGCUUAACACAUGCAAGUCGAACGCCCCGCAAGGGGAGUGGCAGACGGGUGAGUAACACGUGGGAACGUACCCUUUGGUUCGGAAUAACUUGGGGAAACUCAAGCCAAUACCGGAUAAGCCCUUAUGGGGAAAGGUUUACUGCCGAAGGAUCGGCCCGCGUCUGAUUAGCUAGUUGGUGAGGUAAUGGCUCACCAAGGCGACGAUCAGUAGCUGGUCUGGGAGGAUGAUCAGCCACGCUGGGACUGAGACACGGCCCAGACUCCUACGGGAGGCAGCAGUGGGGAAUAUUGGACAAUGGGGGCAACCCUGAUCCAGCCAUGCCGCGUGAGUGAUGAAGGCCUUAGGGUUGUAAAGCUCUUUUACCCGGGACGAUAAUGACUGUACCGGGAGAAUAAGCCCCGGCUAACUUCGUGCCAGCCGCCGCCGUAA
rnacentral:rRNA from 1 species